UACGGGGGGGGCAAGCGUUGUUCGGAAUUACUGGGCGUAAAGGGCUCGUAGGCGGCCAACUAAGUCGGACGUGAAAUCCCUCGGCUUAACCUGGGAACUGCGUUUGAAACUGGGAGACUUGAGUGUGGCAGAGGGGGGUGGAAUUCCACGUGUAGCAGUGAAAUGCGUAGAUAUGUGGAGGAACACCGAUGGCGAAGGCAGCCCCCUGGGUUAACACUGACGCUCAUGCACGAAAGCGUGGGGAGCAAACAGG
rnacentral:rRNA from 1 species